rnacentral:lncRNA from 1 species
UGAAUUAAUUACAAGUUUCAAAUCUGAUACAGAAAAAUAAUACAUUGUUAUCCAGGAUUCAUGGGAAAAAAGAGCUGUGCCAAUACCUAGCUGGACUCUGGUUAGAUAAAAAAACAAACUAAAAAAGAAAAUAAAAAAUUAUAGAUUUAGAUUAUCUAUUUAGUAUAUAUAGAAUGAAUAUAUAUUUGAAUCUAUAUUUAUGAGUUAAUAUAGAAUUAUGAAUAGUAAUGAAAUAAAAUUAUAAUCAAAUAGAAAAAAAAAAAN